rnacentral:tRNA from 1 species
GUUUCUUUGGCCGAGUGUUUAAGGUGUGUGCCUACUAAAUACAUGGGGUUUCCCCACGAGAGUUCGAAUCUCUCAGGCAAUG